UUUCUUGGAGUAUCGGCUAUCGAAGUGUUUUGAUUUUGUUUUGUGUUUCAUUUAUCAAAGCUCAUAAUAUUUUACUUUAACAAAUGAAUUCGUUGCUUGGAUGUUUUGAUUACUUGACGGUUCGUUCCAUCGAUUAGGGGAACCCCCGGUCUCUCUCUCCCAGAGUAUGGCAUUUGCUUUAUGAUUCUAGACAUGUUUUAAAUAUUUUUGGCAAUAAUUAAUCUUGCAACUAUAUCUUAUAUCCAUUCAUUGAUUUUCUCAAAAAAAUUUUUUAUUUUCAUGUCAUUUUCAUCAAGCAACCAGAGCAAUUUUGCAUCAGUUAGAUAAAUGCUAGUCAACUAGAUGAUAAGGGAUUAAUGGUUUAUUUUAAACUAGAUAAAAUUGAUUCAAAUCAACAAUGCCAGGAACCAAGAUUCGAGAUGAAGAUAGGAAAAAUAUCCACUCUAAGUAUAUAUGUACUUACUGUCGUCUUCUUCUUGUCAAUCCAAUGCAGACAUCGUGUGGACAUUUGUUUUGUCAAUCUUGUAUCGAGAAUCUUCUUGAGAAAGGAAAUUUUUGUCUGAUCUUAUGUUUGGAAGUAGUGUCUUGAUAAAAUUGUAGAUUAAAUUAACCAAUGAGGUGUAUAGUAAUUAUAUUAUGUGUGCUUUCAUUUGUCUCAUUGUGGCUUCAUAUAUUCCAACUUUUUUUCAUUAUCUAGACAUUAUCUAGAUCCCAUUGUGGUGCCUACGUUAAAAAUGUCGUUCAUUUUUUACUUCAAUUAUGCUUUUCAAAUAAAUCCAUAUAAACCGAUAUUUUUGUAGCUCUAUAUAUAUUUUUCAUAUGGUUGUUUAAGCAAAAUUAAUCCCCUAAAAAUUGUAACAAGUUUUCAUAUUUGAUCAAUCUGCAGACGUCCUAAUCCAAAAUGUACUGAAGAUGAAAAACAUUUGAACAAAAACAAUGUAAGUAAAAUGUUUCAAUGGAAUAGGACAAAGUUUUGAUAAACACUGUUCCACAUUGCUGUUAUCAGUCGGCUUCAAAUUGUUUGAAAAGAAAAACUUCAUUGAAUUCAUGAACACGAUGGAAACCUAUGCAAGUUCAACAUCCGUUUCGUUUACUAAAAUACAGCUAAAUUAAAAAAGCUUGAAUUUCUAUGAACUUAUACAGAUUUUUCCAAAUGCUGUCAUAAAGCACGAGUUGAACUGUAUUCUUUUACAUUGUCCCAAUGAAAAGUGCAAAUGGCUUGGCCCCUAUCAAGAAUUGAAGGGUCACAUAGGAAGUACAUGCGAAAAUGCUGCCGUGCUCUGUGCAUAUUGCAAAGAUAGAAUUCGAAGAAAGGAUAUUGAAUACCACCUGAACAAAUUUUGCCGCAAAAUUCACGUGAGAAUAUUUAGACUAAUUUAUGAAAAGUUCAACCUCAACUAUCGAUCUGUCAACGUUUUAGAGAGUUUUGUAAAUGAAGUGUGUAGAUAAUAAAUUUCCCUGUAUGGUUUCCUUUUAACAUUAGUUUGUUACCUUGGCUAUAUCUUUUCUUUUUGUUUUUUUAAAACAAAAAAUGAUAAUUGUUGAGUAUAGACAUGACGUAAUAGUACGUGUGAGAUAUGAAAAUCUUAAAAGUUACUAGCUUACAAGAAAAAAUGAAAAAUAUGUUAAAAAUGUUGCAUUAAUAAUUCUGCAUCGUAAUUCUACAUAAAAGAAACUUGCACUUUAGCGAUUUUUGUAUGAAGACGAGUAUCAGAGUUGAACAAUAUCAACAUCUGGAUAUUCUGAACACCAAUGUAGGUACAAGUAAUGGUAUUGAAUGAUACAGUUGUACUGUUUACGGAUGUCAUAAUGGUCUUAGCACUGAGCGCAAUCGUCUGAUCAAACAAAUGUAAUUUUUUGUCUGAAUUUUGCAAUUUAAGCGAUGUCACUAGAUGGUGAAGCUUUCAAAGAGGUUUGACCUAAUCAGUUAAAAGCAUGUUUAUUUUGUUAAUUUGGAAACAGACAUUAUCCUUGA